GUGUGUGGAUGAUGAGAAACUUAGAAAUACACAGUUAUCCCUGUCUGAUUGAUUCAGUUCUGUGCUGAUACAUUUCAAGUCUGACACUAUU